rnacentral:rRNA from 1 species
UACGAAGGGUGCAAGCGUUACUCGGAAUUACUGGGCGUAAAGCGUGCGUAGGUGGUUCGUUAAGUCUGAUGUGAAAGCCCUGGGCUCAACCUGGGAAUGGCAUUGGAUACUGGCGACCUAGAGUGCGGUAGAGGGGUGUGGAAUUCCCGGUGUAGCAGUGAAAUGCGUAGAUAUCAGGAGGAACACCGGUGGCGAAGGCGCACACCUGGCCCGAUACUGACGCUGAGGCGCGAAAGCUAGGGGAGCAAACGGG